rnacentral:rRNA from 1 species
GGAUUAGAUACCCUGGUAGUCCACGCCGUAAACGAUGUCAACUAGUUGUUGGUGAACUUGAUUCCUUAGUAACGCAGCUAACGCACUAAGUUGACCGCCUGGGGAGUACGGCCGCAAGGUUAAAACUCAAAUGAAUUGACGGGGGCCCGCACAAGCGGUGGAGCAUGUGGUUUAAUUCGAUGCAACGCGAAGAACCUUACCUACUCUUGACAUCCAGAGAAUUCGCUAGAGAUAGCUUAGUGCCUUCGGGAACUCUGAGACAGGUGCUGCAUGGCUGUCGUCAGCUCGUGCCG